rnacentral:rRNA from 1 species
UACGUAGGGGGCGAGCGUUAUCCGGAUUUAUUGGGCGUAAAGAGUUCGUAGGCGGUUUGUUAAGUCUGUGAUUUAAGUCCGAGGCUCAACCUCGGUUUGUUGCAGAAACUGGCAGACUUGAGUGUGGUAGAGACAAACGGAAUUUCUAGUGUAGCGGUUAAAUGCGUAGAUAUUAGAAGGAACACCAGUGGCGAAGGCGGUUUGCUGGGCCAUUACUGACGCUGAGGAACGAAAGCGUGGGGAGCAAAUA